rnacentral:rRNA from 1 species
AUUGAACGCUGGCGGCAGGCCUAACACAUGCAAGUCGAGCGGAUGAAGGGAGCUUGCUCCUGGAUUCAGCGGCGGACGGGUGGGUAAGGCCUAGGAAUCUGACUGGUAGUGGGGGAUAACGUCCGGUAACGGACGCUAAUACCGCAUACGUCCUGAGGGAGAACGUGGGGGAUCUUCGGACCUAACGCUCUCAGAUGAGCCUAGGUCGGAUUAGCUAGUUGGAGGGGUAAAGGCCUACCAAGGCGACGAUCCGUAACUGGGCUGAGAGGAUGAUCAGUCACACUGGAACUGAGACACGGUCCAGACUCCUACGGGAGGCAGCAGUGGGGAAUAUUGGACAAUGGGCGAAAGCCUGAUCCAGCCAUGCCGCGUGUGUGAAGAAGGUCUUCGGAUUGUAAAGCACUUUAAGUUGGGAGGAAGGGCAGUAAGUUAAUACCUUGCUGUUUUGACGUUACCAACAGAAUAAGCACCGGCUAACUUCGUG